GAUGAACGCUAGCGGCAGGCCUAACACAUGCAAGUCGAGGGGUAUCAGGAGCUUGCUCCUAAGAGACCGGCGCACGGGUGCGUAACGCGUAUGCAAUCUACCUUUUACAGGGGAAUAGCCCAGAGAAAUUUGGAUUAAUGCCCCAUAGUAUAUAUUAUUCGCAUGCUUGAUAUAUUAAAGUUCCAACGGUAAAAGAUGAGCAUGCGUCCCAUUAGUUAGUUGGUAAGGUAACGGCUUACCAAGACGAUGAUGGGUAGGGGUCCUGAGAGGGAGAUCCCCCACACUGGUACUGAGACACGGACCAGACUCCUACGGGAGGCAGCAGUGAGGAAUAUUGGACAAUGGGCGCAAGCCUGAUCCAGCCAUGCCGCGUGCAGGAAGAAGCAUCUAUGGUGUGUAAACUGCUUUUGUACGGGAAGAAACACCCCUUCGUGAAGGGACUUGACGGUACCGUAAGAAUAAGGAUCGGCUAACUCCGUGCCAGCCGCCGCGGUAA
rnacentral:rRNA from 1 species